GGGGGUGUAGCUCAGUGGUAGAGCGCUUGCCUAGAAUGCGGAGGCUCUUAGUUCAAUCCCCAGCACCUACA
rnacentral:tRNA from 1 species